UUGGUCAGCUUUUGAUUCUCCCUUAUUGUAUGUGUAACCGCGGUACCCAUGUCAUGUCAAGAAACAAGGGAGUACUUGUAGUGGGUUCGAGGGAUUUAUUUGGACAAAUGGAAGCCCAGAUCUGCCCUAAAACAUACACAAUUCAACCAUAAAUAUCAUGGCAAUACAUAGACACAAGAUAACGAUAUUACUUUUAAGAUUUACAGUUCAUUUCUGUAUACUUUACAAAUCCCUUUAGAUAAAACAUAUUACACUUUAUAUAAAGAUCAUGCACAUGCAAUUGAACAUAAAUAUAUUA